CCAUUGCUCAGUUGGUAGAGCACAAGGCUCUUAACCUUAUGGUCGUGGGUUUGAGCCCCAUGGUGGG
rnacentral:tRNA from 1 species